rnacentral:rRNA from 1 species
AUUGAACGCUGGCGGCAUGCUUUACACAUGCAAGUCGAACGGUAACAGGUUAAGCUGACGAGUGGCGAACGGGUGAGUAAUGCAUCGGAACGUGCCCGGUCGUGGGGGAUAACGCAGCGAAAGCUGCGCUAAUACCGCAUACGAUCUGAGGAUGAAAGCGGGGGACCGUAAGGCAUCGCGCGAUCGGAGCGGCCGAUGUCAGAUUAGGUAGUUGGGGGGGUAAAGGCUCACCAAGCCAACGAUCUGUAGCUGGUCUGAGAGGACGACCAGCCACACUGGGACUGAGACACGGCCCAGACUCCUACGGGAGGCAGCAGUGGGGAAUUUUGGACAAUGGGCGAAAGCCUGAUCCAGCAAUGCCGCGUGCAGGAAGAAGGCCUUCGGGUUGUAAACUGCUUUUGUACGGAGCGAAAAGGUCUCCUCUAAUACAGGGGGCUCAUGACGGUACCGUAAGAAUAAGCACCGGCUAACUACGUGCCAGCAGCCGCGGUAA